rnacentral:rRNA from 1 species
UAGGGAAUCUUCGGCAAUGGGGGCAACCCUGACCGAGCAACGCCGCGUGAGUGAAGAAGAUUUUCGGAUCGUAAAGCUCUGUUGUAAGAGAAGAACGUGUGUGAGAGUGGAAAGUUCACACAGUGACGGUAACUUACCAGAAAGGGACGGCUAACUACGUCCACG